rnacentral:rRNA from 1 species
GGGUCAGUAGGUUGGUCGUGCCACCGGUACGUACUGGUCUCACUGAUUCCUCCUUCCUGAAGAACCGUAAUGCCAUUAAUUUGGUGUUGCGGGGAAACAGGACUGUUACUUUGAAAAAAUUAGAGUGUUUAAAGCAAGCUAACGCUUGAAUACAUUAGAAUGGGAUAAUGAAAUAGGACGAUCGAUCCUAUUUUGUUGGUUUCUAGGAUUGACGUA